rnacentral:ncRNA from 1 species
AAAAAAGCCAUGAAGAGAAACAUUGUUGCGUAUCUGUAAUCAGAGAGUUGCUGGUUGGUGAGAAGCAAGUUACGGAUUCAAACAAUUAUCGUCUCUGAGCUGUGCAGCCAAACGUUAUAGUAGGCUACAUUGGGAACACCCAUUAUUGUGUCAGCGUAUCGUAUUUGUUACUGUACGUGUGAGGUAGUCUUAGCGAUAAGGCUAUAAAGAUAAGGUGGUACCACGCUAAAGCGUCCUUUAA